AGAGUUUGAUCAUGGCUCAGGAUGAACGCUAGCGGCAGGCCUAAUACAUGCAAGUCGAACGCUCAGUAGCAAUACUGGGAGUGGCGCACGGGUGCGUAACGCGUACACAAUCUACCUCUAAGCGGGGGACACCUCCUGGAAACGGGGAUUAAUACCGCAUAAUAUGCCGAAGUCGCAUGACUUUGGUAUUAAAGCAGCAAUGCACUUAGAGAUGAGUGUGCGUCCCAUUAGGUAGUUGGUGAGGUAACGGCUCACCAAGCCUAUGAUGGUAGCCAGUCUGAGAGGAUGGUCGGCCACACGGGCACUGAGACACGGGCCCGACUCCUACGGGAGGCAGCAGUAAGGAAUAUUGGUCAAUGGUGGAAACACUGAACCAGCCAUGCCGCGUGGAGGAAUAAGGUCCUACGGAUUGUAAACUCCUUUUGACGAGGAAGAAAAUGUUAGAUUUAUCUAAUUUUGACGGUACUCGUAGAAUAAGCACCGGCUAACUCCGUG
rnacentral:rRNA from 1 species